UACGUAGGGGGCAAGCGUUGUCCGGAAUCAUUGGGCGUAAAGCGCGUGUAGGCGGCUCGGUAAGUCUGCUGUGAAAGUCUAGGGCUCAACCCUGGGAUGCCGGUGGAUACUGUCGAGCUCGAGUCCGGAAGAGGCGAGUGGAAUUCCUGGUGUAGCGGUGAAAUGCGCAGAUAUCAGGAGGAACACCAAUGGCGAAGGCAGCUCGCUGGGACGUGACUGACGCUGAGACGCGAAAGCGUGGGGAGCAAACAGG
rnacentral:rRNA from 1 species